rnacentral:rRNA from 1 species
AGAGCGAACGCUGGCGGCAGGCCUAACACAUGCAAGUCGAGCGCGUGUAGCAAUACACGAGCGGCAGACGGGAGAGUAACACGUGGGAACGCGCCCUUCGGUUCGGAAUAACUCAGGGAAACUUGAGCUAAUACCGGAUACGCCCUUACGGGGAAAGAUUUAUUGCCGAAGGAACGGCCCGCGUCCGAUUAGCUAGUUGGUGAGGUAACGGCUCACCAAGGCGACGAUCGGUAGCUGGUCUGAGAGGAUGACCAGCCUCACUGGGACUGAGACACGGCCCAGACUCCUACGGGAGGCAGCAGUGGGGAAUAUUGGACAAUGGGCGCAAGCCUGAUCCAGCCAUGCCGCGUGGAUGAUGAAGGCCUUAGGGUUGUAAAGUCCUUUUAACGGGGAAGAUAAUGACGGUACCCGUAGAAUAAGCCCGGCUAACUUCGCGCCAGCAGCCGC